rnacentral:lncRNA from 1 species
AUUUGGUAUGCAGAACACUAUGGUCACCGAGAAAAGACCUACUCGGAGUGUGAAGAUGGCACCUACAGUCCAGAGAUCUCCUGGCAUCACAGGAAAGGGACAAAAGGUUCUGAAGACAGCCCACCCAAGCAUGCAGGCAACAACGAAAGCCAUUCUUCCAGGAGAAGGAAUCGGCAUUCCAAGUCAAAAGUCACCAAUGGCGUUGGAAAGAAAUGAAAAACCCUGGUUAAUCAAAGAUGUUCCAGAGUGCCUAGAACUGAGAGGGAAAUGGAACUCAUUUGGAACUCCCCGUGAGGAGGUCGAGGCGCACAGGGCAAGCAGGAAGAGGCGAGGGCACUUGGGGGUCAUUAUUUGAGAUCGUAAGUCUUGUUUCCCACAGACCUGGCCGCGUCAGGCAGAUCAUCGCCUGGGGGGCCUUUGCCAACGUGGGGUCUCUUCUAACUUCAGCACUUGACAUGCGGUCACCGGUGGCAGCGCGGUGUGUUGAAGGGAAACGGUAGCUAUUCAUUCACAGUUGCCAAGAGCAGCUCCGCGCCUGCUGGAUCGUGGAUGCAGCGUAAACAUCUUCCUUCAGACGAGGCAUUAACCCCAUGGUUAAUGGACUGGUCACCAGUUUUUAUUUUAUUUUUAUGAAUCUACCUUUCCAUUGAUUGAUUUAAGUUCAGGCCACUUUUCUGUCUUUUAUUUGGUUACUGUUGUUAUUUGUUUUUAAGUUAGGAUGCUUUUUAACAGCCUUUAGAAGCCGCUGCUGAAAUUGAUACUGGGGGAAGGGUUCCCCUUCCUUCUAGAGCAGAAAAGGGAGAGAGGUGUUGUAUUCCUGUUUGGUAACCUCAGUCUCCUGUAAGACCUCCUACCACAUGGCGAGUAUACACCAAUCAGGAGAGGGUAGCUGCCUGCAUAGGAGCCUCGCUUCCGAUUAUUCCCUUCCCAAUAUUAUUCAUCCAGACUUAGCCACAGUGCACAAAAGCAAACCUGCUAGAGAGGCAGUGAACACCACAGCUUCUCCCCAGCUAGGUGCCUUUUACAUCGGGUUUGUUCUCCUUCCAUGGUGUGUUGCUGACAUUGUCACUGAGUCCCAUGUGAGGUGCUGGUGAGUAUUACCUUUCAUCUGUGCCAUGCUCUAGAACCUUGACCUUGAUAGUUCACCACCUCUGAUGGAUCCCUGUUUUAAAUAAAAACGAUUCACUUUAAAGCC